UACGUAGGUGGCAAGCGUUGUCCGGAAUUAUUGGGCGUAAAGCGCGCGCAGGCGGUCCUUUAAGUCUGAUGUGAAAGCCCACGGCUCAACCGUGGAGGGUCAUUGGAAACUGGGGGACUUGAGUGCAGAAGAGGAAAGCGGAAUUCCACGUGUAGCGGUGAAAUGCGUAGAGAUGCGGAGGAACACCGAUGGCGAAGGCGGCUACCUGGGCCAGUUCUGACGCUGAGGCGCGAAAGCGUGGGGAGCAAACAGG
rnacentral:rRNA from 1 species